rnacentral:lncRNA from 1 species
GAAAACAGGACCCACGGAGUCCGCCCCCACCACCACCUGACCACCCUAUCCCCCAGCUAGCUGCGACGAUGAGUGGAGUUGAGUGUACCUGUCCUCUUCGCAAGAACCGAGGCGGGGUGCCGACCUCCUCCUCCUUCGCGUCACCUUCCCUUCCAUUUCGCCCACCCGCAAAAAUCCAAGACGACGCACGCAAGGCAAACUACUCCCGAAAUCGAAUAAAUAAACGGCUCUCCUUUUCCAAAAACAGCGCGUCCUUCUUCUCAANAAAAGGUUGGAAAAAUUACUACUACUUCCUUUUUACAUUCCCACGACCGCAGCGGCGGUCAGGCUGACGGCCGCCCGCAGCGCCGGCGUGCGUCCGUGGAGUACGUGCCUGGCCAAUCGAUCCACGCGCUCCGGGGCCGGGCCAAUCCAAACAGUGGUAGCUCAGUAGCUGUUGGCACCCGCUGCUUUCCCCAGACCAAACGUGACCCCGGAGCGGAGAAGAAGCCGCCAUGAAGCAGCCUCCUCCGCCUCUGCCUCUGCCCGCUGCCGCUGCCGCUGCUUUCCCACCUCCUCGUUNNNNN